UACGUAGGGACCAAGCGUUGUUCGGAUUUACUGGGCGUAAAGGGCGCGUAGGCGGCGCGGUAAGUCACUUGUGAAAUCUCUGAGCUUAACUCUGAACGGCCAAGUGAUACUGCAGUGCUAGAGUGUGGAAGGGGCAAUCGGAAUUCUUGGUGUAGCGGUGAAAUGCGUAGAUAUCAAGAGGAACACCUGAGGUGAAGACGGGUUGCUGGGCCAACACUGACGCUGAUGCGCGAAAGCCAGGGGAGCAAACGGG
rnacentral:rRNA from 1 species